ACCCAAGGUUAUUAUAAAGUUAUAUAUACAGAAAUAUUUGAAAAGUACUGAAUAUAUCUCUGCCUGAUUUUUGACUUAUUGAACUUAUUGAGAAAUUCUGUAAAGAACAAAAUGUGAGCAUGAUGGAAGAAAAUGCAAAUGAUUCAUUUUCCAAAAGGCAAGAAGAAGAAUUGGAGGUUCUUGAUUCAAUGUUUGGGGAUGAUUUCGAAGAUGUCAGAAAAAAAGAUAAGUGGAAGGUACCUCGACCUCCACGAAAUCCUUCUGGCAUCUAAAACCUCUGGAGAGCAUGGGAGGAACAAAAGAAGUUCAUGCAAUCUGUAACAUUUCGAGCAAAAUUUGCAAAGAAUUACCCAUCCACACCUCCUGAGAUUUCAUUAGAAGAUGCUAAAGGAUUAUCUGAUGAUGUUCUGAAAAAAUUUUUAUUCAAGAAUUGAAUGACAAAGCUGCAAAUUCUGUUGAUGAAGUCAUGAUUUUGGAUCUUGCUCAAAUGAAUACAA